rnacentral:rRNA from 1 species
GCAAGUCGAGCGCACCCUUCGGGGCGAGCGGCGGACGGGUUAGUAACGCGUGGGAACAUACCUUUCUCUACGGAAUAGCCAUUGGAAACGAUGAGUAAUACCGUAUACGCCCUUCGGGGGAAAGAUUUAUCGGAGAAAGAUUGGCCCGCGCUAGAUUAGAUAGUUGGUGGGGUAAUGGCCUACCAAGUCUACGAUCUAUAGCUGGUCUGAGAGGAUGGAC